AUACGGAAGGUCCGGGCGUUAUCCGGAUUUAUUGGGUUUAAAGGGAGCGCAGGCGGAGAUGCAAGCGUGACGUCAAAUUUCGGGGCUCAACCCCGUCUCGCGUCGCGAACUGCGUCCCUUGGUUGCGGGAAGGGGAGGCGGAACUCGUGGUGUAGCGGUGAAAUGCAUAGAUAUCACGAAGAACUCCGAUCGCGAAGGCAGCCUUCCGGCCCGUCAACGACGCGCAUGCUCGAAGGUGCGGGUAUCAAACAGGAUUAGAUACCCUGGUAGUCCGCACAGUAAACGAUGGACACCCGCGGUUUGGCCUGUAUGGCUGAGCCGCCAAGCGAAAGCGUUAAGUGUCCCACCUGGGGAGUACGCCGGCAACGGUGAAACUUAAAGGAAUUGACGGGG
rnacentral:rRNA from 1 species